GGCGGAACCUUGUCCUGUCCCCUCUCGCCCCGUCCUGUUUCCGUGGCAACCACGCGAGCAGAGUGGGCUGGCCGCUCAAAGGCAGCGUUUAGGGGCGGGGCUUGCGGCGGAAGCGGCGUCCGCCCGCUCCGUGCGGUGCGGGCUGCAGAGAUGCUGCGCGCGGGGUGGCUGCGGUUGUGUGCCGCGCUCUGCAGCCUCCUGCUGGGACGGGCCGAGGCCCCGAGCCCUGGGGUGCCGCCGGAGCGAAGCCGGCCCUACACGGUGCUGCGGGGGCAGAACCUGGUGUUGAUGGGAACCGUCUUUAGCAUCCUGCUGGUGACGGUGGUCCUUAUGGCGUUCUGUGUCUACAAGCCCAUUCGUCGACGGUGAUGGCCACACAAGGAAGCCCUGCUCCAGGUUUCUGGGACAGAAGUCGUGUUGCACAUGGGCCACUGGAGACGGUGGAAUCAGAACUUCUGGGCAGGUGGUAAAUGCUUCAGGGUGAGGAAGCCUCUAGAAGUAACUGUUUCCCUCACGUCAGCUAUUGGCUACUGAUCUCUUCCCUUCUGUUUGGUGCAUUGGUUAAAAGUUAAGCCCAAAGCUCUAAGGUUCCUCGUAAAGACUUGUCCAUCGCAAAGAAGAACCACACUGAGAACUAAUCACUAAUGCUUGAACUAGUAAGAGGAAGACCUAACACGUAGACCUCCCCUGCUUUCAGCCUUUCUGUCACAGUGUGUCAAUCACACACGGGGGCCAGCAAGAUGGUUCAGCAGGGCACCUGCCAUCGAGGCGGAUUUUGAUUCCUGGAACUCGCCCAAUGGGAGGAGAGGCCAGUUCCAUGGGUUGUUCUCUGGGCUCUACACAGGAAUACAUAAACAUAAAGCACACCACGUCUCUUAUUCUGCUGAGCUGCCCUCGAAUACCCUGGUUGCAUGCAUUGCUGAUUUGGGGAACUUAGUCAUCAUUCCUUGCAGCCUUGGCGCCCAGCCAGAGUUGAGUCUGAGGUCUGUGACCGUGUGUCCCCCUUGGCCUGGAAGGCUCGGGGUGGCAGCCUGAGCCGGUCUCCCUUUCUCCCUAGUGUAGAGGGUUCAGCCAUGUGUCCCCUGUUCAAGCUGCUGUGUUUACAAGACUGUCUGCUUUUCGAGUGCUGCUACUGAACUAGAUUUCCCCUGUGGGUACGUCCCAUUGUUAGAGGUUAUGAGUAUUUAUUUUAAUUUGCUGUGAAGUUGUUGUUAUGCUUAAUAGUGGAUUCCCCUCAAACACAGCACUGAUCUUCUUGUGUUUUAACUUAGCCUGCACUGAUGUGCACAGCACCUCACUGUGGGGUCACGUCUGGAAAUUGUAACCUGAGCCAUUAAAUGUCAGUUAAAUCGGAGAGAAA